ACAGGGUGAUAGUCCCGUACACCAAAAUGCACAGGUUGUGAACUCGAAGAGUAGGGCGGGACACGUGGUAUCCUGUCUGAAUAUGGGGGGACCAUCCUCCAAGGCUAAAUACUCCUGACUGACCGAUAGUGAACCAGUACCGUGAGGGAAAGGCGAAAAGAACCCCGGCGAGGGGAGUGAAAAAGAACCUGAAACCGUGUACGUACAAGCAGUGGGAGCACCUUCGGGUGUGACUGCGUACCUUUUGUAUAAUGGGUCAGCGACUUAUAUUCUGUAGCAAGGUUAACCGUAUAGGGGAGCCGCAGGGAAACCGAGUCUUAACUGGGCGUUAAGUUGCAGGGUAUAGACCCGAAACCCGGUGAUCUAGCCAUGGGCAGGUUGAAGGUUGGGUAACACUAACUGGAGGACCGAACCGACUAAUGUUGAAAAAUUAGCGGAUGACUUGUGGCUGGGGGUGAAAGGCCAAUCAAACCGGGAGAUAGCUGGUUCUCCCCGAAAGCUAUUUAGGUAGCGCCUCGUGAACUCAUCUUCGGGGGUAGAGCACUGUUUCGGCUAGGGGGUCAUCCCGACUUACCAACCCGAUGCAAACUACGAAUACCGAAGAAUGUUAUCACGGGAGACACACGGCGGGUGCUAACGUCCGUCGUGAAGAGGGAAACAACCCAGACCGCCAGCUAAGGUCCCAAAGUCAUGGUUAAGUGGGAAACGAUGUGGGAAGGCACAGACAGCCAGGAUGUUGGCUUAGAAGCAGCCAUCAUUUAAAGAAAGCGUAAUAGCUCACUGGUCGAGUCGGCCUGCGCGGAAGAUGUAACGGGGCUAAACCAUGCACCGAAGCUGCGGCAGCGACACUAUGUGUUGUUG
rnacentral:rRNA from 1 species